AGCAUGCAUGCAGAAAGCCAUGCUACAGAGAGAAAAAUUACGACAUCUACCGUAUACCGGUAAUCAUAUCUUAUGUCAGUUUUAAAACAUACAAAAAAAAUAAUAAAAGUGUAUUUUUAACUCAACAAUAUGUUGAACAAAUGAAUUCAUUUCAUUUGCUUGUGGGUGUGCAUGCUCUGCUCUGGGAAUUCUAAUUAAGGAUCCCCCUUUCAUGCAAUGUGUUUACCGAGAGUUAACGAGGAAUGGCACAGCGGGAUGCUAUGGCCAAGACUCAUACAGCCGAUCCUAGUUAUGCAAUUUUUUCGGGAUUUGAUAUGCUGUGUAGGUCAACGUUUUGGAAAACCCAAGCCAUUCUUGUAACACAAAGUCUGAGAGCUGGUGAACAGUCGGGUAAUGAUAAUGACAAAUGAUGUAAUGUCCCUUAUGAAUAUAAAGGGCAAAGAGGGAAGAUGGCAUUUGGCACGACAUCAGUGUUUCAGGCAGUGAUAGCAAGUGCAGUUCAUCAAUUUAAUGCGACGGAACACGAAGUCCGAGAGGCUGUUGCGAAGUACCUUAAAUAUGCAUCAGACCGGAGAGGUGGAGGUGGCCGGGUCGAAAAAUAAUUAAUGGAAUCAAAUGAUAACUUUGAUUUAUAUUUCAGGGCGUCAAGUUUCCUUUAAGUUCCUAUAUUUGGGGGUUAUUCCUAUAAAUUCCUAUAUUUCCACAAAAAUUCCCUAUAUUUUUGUGAAAUUCCUAUAAAUUCCUAUAUUUUAGGGUAAGCGAAAAAUGUUGGAUUCUGGAGCAAAACCAGUACUGUAUAUUACAAACAAUUUGUGUCAUCUAUUUGUAACUAUACAACAUUUACUACAAAAAGGUGCUAUAUUUCUGAGGUUUGUCCUAUAUUUUUUGGACCAAAAUUCACUUGACGCCCUGAUAUUUGAUAGUGUUACUGACUGAAUAUUAUUUCAUGAACAAUGAAUAAAGAAGGAAAAUGACAAGAAUAA